rnacentral:rRNA from 1 species
AUGGAGGAUGCUUGUUUGGGGAAUGGUUUUGAUCGAGGACCCAUUGUUGCCAUCAACAUGAUACAGUUUCACUUGCGUGUGAAGACACAUGGUUUGAACAUGAUUAAUAGUGGCCGAGCUUACUACUACUAUGCAUACCAUGUUCUUGACAAUACAGAUCUGCAAAUCAUGGUUGAUUGCUCUGCUAUUGAGAUGGAGUGUUAUAAAUUCUCAAAAGCUCUUGUUCUUGACUCCUAUCACAGGUGCACUGUCCAAUUGAGCUCCCAAUGUGCUCUCGUCACAAGAUCGAAUCAAUGGUCUACAAUUAGUCAACCAAGUGCUAUGUGUCUGACUCUGGUUCCUGGUGUGCCCAUUUUACAAAACCAGCAACUGACUUGGGAUCCAGGUGAGAAGAUACUUGAUUCGGUUCAGCUUGCAGUACAAGUGCCUUGGGAUCCCGGUGGUUCGACAGGGAAUCGGCUUGAGGACAGACUGAAACUUAUGGAGGGGGGGGUUGUCAGCGACCAUACUAUGGGCUGGCCCUAUUCGCCUCGAUCUGGCCCAGAAGAUGGAUGGCCUCCAACUACAAAGGGCACACGGGUGCCCACGAAAGAGGCGGCUUGGACGGAAGGCUUCGGCCUGGCUGGCGAUCUCCCUCUCUGUAGCGUGUUCUUACUCCUCUGUCUCCAUCCUCCCUCUGCUUCUUCCUCAUGUAAUCCAUAG